GACGAACGCUGGCGGCGUGCUUAACACAUGCAAGUCGAACGGUGAAAGGGAGCUUGCUCCCUGGAUCAGUGGCGAACGGGUGAGUAACACGUGGGCAACCUGCCCCAGACUUCGGGAUAACGCUUCGAAAGAGGUGCUAAUACCGGAUACGAACUCCUUGGGCAUCCUUGGAGUUGGAAAGUUUUUCGGUCUGGGAUGGGCCCGCGGCCUAUCAGCUUGUUGGUGAGGUAACGGCUCACCAAGGCGACGACGGGUAGCCGGCCUGAGAGGGCGACCGGCCACACUGGGACUGAGACACGGCCCAGACUCCUACGGGAGGCAGCAGUGGGGAAUAUUGCGCAAUGGGCGAAAGCCUGACGCAGCAACGCCGCGUGAGGGAUGACGGCCUUCGGGUUGUAAAGCGCUGUCAGUGGGGAAGAAGAUCUGACGGUACCCACAGAGGAAGCCCCGGCUAAUUACGUGCCAGCAGCCGCCGUAA
rnacentral:rRNA from 1 species